rnacentral:rRNA from 1 species
GAUGAACGCUGGCGGCGUGCCUAAUACAUGCAAGUCGAGCGAACAGACGAGGAGCUUGCUCCUUCGACGUUAGCGGCGGACGGGUGAGUAACACGUAGGUAACCUACCUAUAAGACUGGGAUAACUUCGGGAAACCGGAGCUAAUACCGGAUAAUAUUUCGAACCGCAUGGUUCGAUAGUGAAAGAUGGCUUUGCUAUCACUUAUAGAUGGACCUGCGCCGUAUUAGCUAGUUGGUAAGGUAACGGCUUACCAAGGCAACGAUACGUAGCCGACCUGAGAGGGUGAUCGGCCACACUGGAACUGAGGCACGGUCCAGACUCCUACGGGAGGCAGCAGUAGGGAAUCUUCCGCAAAGGGCGAAAGCCUGACGGAGCAACGCCGCGUGAGUGAUGAAGGUCUUCGGAUCGUAAAACUCUGUUAUUAGGGAAGAACAAACGUGUAAGUAACUGUGCACGUCUUGACGGUACCUAAUCAGAAAGCCACGGCUAACUACGUG